rnacentral:rRNA from 1 species
UACGAAGGGGGCUAGCGUUGCUCGGAAUCACUGGGCGUAAAGCGCACGUAGGCGGAUUGCUAAGUCAGGGGUGAAAUCCUGGAGCUCAACUCCAGAACUGCCUUUGAUACUGGCAACCUUGAGUCCGGGAGAGGUGAGUGGAACUGCGAGUGUAGAGGUGAAAUUCGUAGAUAUUCGCUAGAACACCAGUGGCGAAGGCGGCUCACUGGCCCGGUACUGACGCUGAGGUGCGAAAGCGUGGGGAGCAAACAGG